rnacentral:misc_RNA from 1 species
CUGGUAGUCCAUGCCGUAAACGAUGAGUGCUAGGUGUUGGAGGGUUUCCGCCCUUCAGUGCCGGAGCUAACGCAUUAAGCACUCCGCCUGGGGAGUACGACCGCAAGGUUGAAACUCAAAGGAAUUGACGGGGGCCCGCACAAGCGGUGGAGCAUGUGGUUUAAUUCGAAGCUACGCGAAGAACCUUACCAGGUCUUGACAUCUUGCGCCAACCCUAGAGAUAGGGCGUUUCCUUCGGGAACGCAAUGACAGGUGGUGCAUGGUCGUCGUCAGCUCGUGUCGUGAGAUGUUGGGUUAAGUCCCGCAACGAGCGCAACCCUUGUUACUAGUUGCCAGCAUUAAGUUGGGCACUCUAGUGAGACUGCCGGUGACAAACCGGAGGAAGGUGGGGACGUCAGAUCAUCAUGCCCCUUAUGACCUGGGCUACACACGUGCUACAAUGGACGGUACCGAGUCGCGAACUCGCGAGGGCAAGCAAAUCUCUUAAAACCGUUCUCAGUUCGGACUGCAGGCUGCAACUCGCCUGCACGAAGUCGGAAUCGCUAGUAAUCGCGGAUCAG